AUGUUCCACCAUUGCUGCUACCAAGGCUGUGUCUAUCAUGCCCCUGAGAACAGGACAGAGAAAACCAGAAGUACGUUGGAUCAUAUUGUGGAGCGCUGUAUGGAGGUCCAUCAACAAUCAGCAGUGGAACUAGGGAGUGAAAAAUCAAUAAAGUGGUAUAAGCCAGAUAGCAUGAAAUGUACAACUUCUAGACCACCGUGGAUUUAUGCUCAAAGUGACCUUGACCUGUAUACAUCUAUUCUGCAAUUUCCUAUCAUUAAUUUAUUAUGUACCACUCCUAACCACACAGAAAACAAAAGAAAACAAAACCAAAACACACAAAACUUCAGGGCUGGAUGUGUUUUCUUUUCC
rnacentral:lncRNA from 1 species